rnacentral:tRNA from 1 species
UUUCCGUUCAUCUAGAGGCCUAGGAUACGUCACUUUCACUGACGGUACACGAGUUCGAAUCUCGUACGGAAAACCA